GCCUCAUCCUCGCGCUCGUGGUGUCGGGCUGCAUGCGGACGACCGCGCCGGUGGCUGUCAUCGACAACGGCAGCCUCGACGCGAUUGCCUAUGGCCCGGUUCAGCCGGUACGCGCGGUGAGCGUCGCGACAACCCCUGACUCUCCCGGCGACGGCGCCCUCGAUGAGCCCUAUCGCCUCAAUGCCGGCGACCGGCUGCGCAUUGUUGUCUAUGGCCAGGAA
rnacentral:misc_RNA from 1 species